ACCCAGAUGAAGAGUCUCAAAUAGGACAAAAUGCGCAUCCUGGAU
rnacentral:hammerhead_ribozyme from 1 species